AACGAACGCUGGCGGCAUGCCUAACACAUGCAAGUCGAACGAGACCUUCGGGUCUAGUGGCGCACGGGUGCGUAACGCAUGGGAACCUGCCCUUAGGUUCGGAAUAACUCCCCGAAAGGGGUGCUAAUACCGGAUGAUGUCUUCGGACCAAAGAUUUAUCGCCUUUGGAUGGGCCCGCGUUGGAUUAGCUAGUUGGUAGGGUAAAAGCCUACCAAGGCGACGAUCCAUAGCUGGUCUGAGAGGAGGACCAGCCACACUGGGACUGAGACACGGCCCAGACUCCUACGGGAGGCAGCAGUGGGGAAUAUUGGACAAGGGGCGAAAGCCUGAUCCAGCAAUGCCGGGGGAGUGAUGAAGGCCUUAGGGUUGUAAAGCUCUUUUACCCGGGAUGAUAAUGACAGUACCGGGAGAAUAAGCUCCGGCUAACUCCGUG
rnacentral:rRNA from 1 species